rnacentral:rRNA from 1 species
GACGAACGCUGGCGGCGUGCUUAACACAUGCAAGUCGAACGGAAAGGCCCUGCCUUUGUGGGGUGCUCGAGUGGCGAACGGGUGAGUAACACGUGAGUAACCUGCCCUUGACUUUGGGAUAACUUCAGGAAACUGGGGCUAAUACCGGAUAGGAGCUCCUGCUGCAUGGUGGGGGUUGGAAAGUUUCGGCGGGUGGGGAGGGACUCGCGGCUUAUCAGCUUGUUGGUGGGGUAGUGGCUUACCACGGCUUUGACGGGUAGCCGGCCUGAGAGGGGCACCGGCAACAUGGGGACUGGGAUACGGCCCGGACUCCUACGGGGGGCAGCGGUGGGGAUUAUGCCACAUUGGGGGGAGGCCUGAUGCAGCAACGCGGCGGGCGGGUGGCCGGCCUCCGGUUGUUAAACCGCUUUCGUCGGGGACAAAGGGUAUGUGACGGUAAUGGGUAAAGAAGCACCGGCUAACUACGUG